AAAUUGCUUAUUAAGCCUCAGGUUUCUUCACUUACAAAAUGAGGAUAAUAAUUGCACCUGGUCCACAGGGUCAUGACAUGGAUUCAAUAGAAAGCUCAGCAGUGUACCUGACUUACAAUGGUUCACACUAAAAUUUUUAAACUUUACAAUAGUGAAAAAGCAAUAUGCAUUCCAUAGAACUCAUACAACCAUUUUGUUCUUCACUUUCAGUAAAAUAUUCAAUAAAUUACCUGAGAUAUUCAACACUUCAUUACAAAAUAGGCUUUGUGUUAGAGGAUUUUGCCCAACUGCAGGCUAAUGAAAGUGUUCUGAGCACAUUUAAGGUAGGCUAGGCUGAGCUGUGAUGUUCAGUGGAUUAGGUAUCAAAUGCAUUUUUAACUUAAAAUAAUUUCAACUUAUAAUGAAUUUAUCAGGACUUGAUCCCACCAUAAGUCAAGGAGCAUCUGUACACCAACUGUUGGUUAUUAUUUUUCAUCCCCACAAGACAGAUAUAGUUCUGCAUUUCUCAUGCAGAUUCUACAGGCCUUUAUUCUAAUUUUUUUAACGUGCCAAUUUUAUCAUAUUUGGUUUCUUCAGUCUUUUAUGUAUUCAUCUAGAUGUCUGUGAAUUAUAGUCUAUCUAUGCUUGUAGGAUUUAAAAUAUAUUUAGUCAAUGGUGGGUAGAAAUUUUAUUUUAGCUUAAAAAAUUAAUCUUAUAAAAUGCCUGCUGACAUUUAAUGUAAGAAUUGUUUUACUCAAUUCAUGUUUUUCUCUUUUUCCCUGUGGAGUAUAUUUAUUGACUACAGAUGGAAGCACAUUGCUAAGGAAUGGAAAGCUGCAAGAUAGAACGUGCCCUUCACCUGCGUGGUUGCAUAGAAACCAGUCGUUUGUCUAAAUCUUAAAGAACUCCAGUGGAAAGCAUACUUAAAAAUGUAAAGGUUAGAAUCACAAACUACAGUUUGAAUUGAAAUGACUGAAAGAUUGUUUCAAGAAUAUAAGAAUUCUACCUAAAAGAAUUCUAUCUAAAAGAAGUGAAUGAAAGGUAUAUUCUGGUAAGUCCUUUAUAAUUAUGAUUUUGAACAAACUGCUUUAAAUUAUGCUAUAGCAUGAACUGAGAAGGAAAAAAGUGAAUAGAAGGAUAUCAGGAUUGCUGAAGCACAGAACCCAGAACAACAGUCCAAACCAAUGAUGGAGGUGAAACUAAGAUAGCAGCCACAACCAGAAGUUGAUUCAGAAAGAAUUAAUUCGGGCUGGGUGUGGUCAUUUAUACCUGUAAUCCCAGCACUUUGGGAGGCUAAGGCAGCCGGAUUGCCUGAGCCUAGGAGUUUGAGACCAGCCUGAGCAACAUGACAAAACCCUGAUUCUACAAAAAAUAAAAAAAAACUAGCCUGUGGUGGCAAGCGCCUGUAGUCCCAGCUGCUGGGGAGGCUGAGGUGGGAGGAUGGCUUGAGUUCAGGCAGGGGAGGUUGCAGUGAGCCAAGAUCCUGCCACUGAACUCCAGUUUGUGGGACAGAGCGAGACACUUUCUCAAAAAAAGAAAGAAAGAAUUGGCUGGGCAUGGUGGCUCAUGCCUGUAAUCCCAGCAAUUUGGGAGGCCAAUGCAGGUGGACUGCCUGAGGUCAGGAGUUCAAGACCAGCCUGGCCAACAUGGCGAAACCCCAUCUCUACUAAAAAUACAAAACUUAGCUGGGCGUGGUGGCCCGGGCCUGUAAUCCUAGCUACUUAGGAGGCUGAGACAGGAGAAUCACUUGAACCCGGGAUGUGGAGGUUGCAGUGAGCUGAGACCGCCACUGCACUCCAGUCUGGGAGAAAGAAAAAAAGAAAGAAAGGGAGGGAGGGAGGAAAGAAGGAAGGAAGGAAGGAAGGAAGGGAUUCAGAGACAAAACAGAAAUAGACUUUGUUUCUCGUGAUUAAAAUAUGCUAAAAGCAAUAGCUAAGAUUGCAGCUGAAGAGUAUGAAUAUAAUAGGAGCCCACAAAAUACCACAGCAUUGUGGUUGUUGCUGUUGUUGGUCUUAGUCUUUGUCUCUAUCUUGGUUUUGGUAUAGAUAUUAUUGUUUGCAAGGUACUAAACUAGCUGAUUAUAAAUUUCAGGUUAAAAAAUAAGCAGCAAGAGUAUCUGGAGACAUUCUGACAAUAAAUGCAAUGAUAGAGCACUAGCCUUUUCACUAUAGACCAAUAGAAACGGAAGCAGUAGUUGUGGGGCAUGAAUCCACAGACACAAGAAUCAAUGGCACAGAAUAGAAUUUCCAGAAACAGAUACCAAUGCACUUAUGCAUUUAUUAAUUUAGUAUAUGACAAAGAUUGCUGCUGUGGUUUGUAUGUGUCCCUCAGAUUUCAUGUGUUGGCUACUUAAUCCCCAAUGUGAUAGCACUGAAGGGUGAGGCCUUUAAGAGGAGAUUGGGGCUGGGCACGGUGGCUCACAUUUGUAAUACCAGAACUUUGAGAGGCUGAGGCGGGUGGAUCACUUGAGGUCAGGAAUUUGAUAUCAGCCUGGCCAACAUAGAGAAACCCCAUCUCUACUAAAAAUACAAAAAUUAGCUGGGCAUGGUGAUCCACACCUGUAAUCCCAGCUACUUGGGAGGCUGAGGCAGGAGAAUCGCUUGAAUUGAGGAGGUAGAGGUUGCAGUGAGCUGAGAUCAUCCCACUGCACUCCAGUCUGGGUGACAGAAUGACACUCCAUCUCAAAAAAAAAAAAAAAAAAAAAAAGGACAGGAAGAAUGAUCUGAACUAGCAUACUCAGCACAUUCAUCCCACUUGCUAUUGUGAAGCCCUGUACCACCUGGGAUCUGUAGAGAACGCCCCCCCCACCCCCCACCAGCAAGAAGCCUCUCACCUGCUGUGGCCCCUCAGCCUUGGACUUCUCAGCCUCCCAAACUGUAAGACAUGAAUUCCUUUCCUUUAUAAAUUACCCAGUUUCAGGUAUUCUGUUAUAAGCAACAGAAAACAAACUAAUAUAAUGGCAUUUCAAAGUAGUGGAAAAAAACACGACAUUCAGUUAAUGGUUUGAAGGCAACUGGAGAGUUAUUGAGGUGUAAUAUGAUUGAAUCCUCUCUCAUAAUAUAUCAAAAUAUAUUCCAAGUAGAUCAAAGUUUACAAGUAAAAAUAAAACUGCAAAAGUAUGAAAAGAAGUCAUGUAAGAAUUUUUACAUAAAUCAGAUUGAGGAAGACCUUCUAUUUUUAACACAAAACCCAGGGGUGAAACAGUAUUAAUAAAAAAUUGAUGACUUCAAUUUCAUAAAAAUUUGUUUAAAGCUUCUAGGUCAAAAAUCAUAGGCUUCGGUGGAAUGUUGCUGUAAAAGAAAUUUUUAAAAAACAGAAAAAAGAAAGAAAAGCUACAGGCAAGGUCAAAAGAUAAACCACAAAUCUGAGAAAAAUAUUUGCAUCUCCUAUCACAGACAAAGGGCUUAUUUCUUGACUAUAUAAGGAACUCUUAAGCAUCAAUAAGAAAUAGAUUAACAACCCUAUAGGAAAGUAGAUUAAAAUUUUACAUAGAAAAUAUAAAAAUAACUAAACAUCAUUGAAAUAUAGGAAAGAUUUUUCAAUCAUGCAAAAUAAAUGCAAAUUAAAACUACACUGAGAAGACUUUUUAAAAUCUACGAGACUGGCAAAAAUAAUAAAAUUAUAAAACUGUGUUGGUGAAAGUAUGGAAUUCAAUUAGGCAAUAUCUUUGGCAUAUACAUACCUUUUGACCCAGAAAUUCCACUUCCAGGAAUUUAUCCGACAGAUAUUCUUACACAUGCAGAAUAACAUAUGGACUAGAUUGUCAUUAUGGUAUUAUUUGUUAAAAAAAAAAGGACUAAACAAUCUAAAUAUAACUAGUUACAUAAAUUAUGAUACAGCUUUCCAGUAGAAUAAUAAGCUUCUAUUAAAAAAAGAGAAUGGGCUGGAUACAAUGGCUCAUGCCUAUGAUCCCAGCACUUUGGAAGGCUGAAGUGGGAGGAUUGCUUGAGCCCAGGAGUUUGAGAAGACCAGCCUGACUAACAUAGGGAUAUCCUGUCUCUAC
rnacentral:sRNA from 1 species